GGUGACAUAGCCAAGUGGUAAGGCGUGGGACUGCAACUCCCUGAUCGGCGGUUCAAAUCCGUCUGUCACCU
rfam:Bacteroides pectinophilus CAG:437 genomic scaffold, scf54